AGCACGGCAAGGAAAGGGGAGUGGCAGCAAAGAAGAAAUGGAGAAAGGAAGAGAAAAAUGAGGCUGGGUGACAGGGGAGAGCCAGCCCUGCCUACCACACAGCUGCAGUGGACAUCCCGGUUCCCUGAUGGAUGAAGAAGGCCAACCGAUCCAGCCUCAAGACCAGAGCUGCUGGGCCACCCUUCCCGAUGUGUGCCUACAUCGUAUUUUCUGGUGGCUGGGAGACAAAGACAGGUCCAGAGCGGCCCUUGUCUGCAGAAAGUGGAACCAGAUGAUGUAUUCGGCUGACCUCUGGCGAUACAGGACCAUCACGUUUACUGGGAGACCUUCCAGGGUACACGCGUCCGAAUUUGUGUCGGCUCUUUGGUAUGUUAAGAAAUUUGGUCGUUAUCUGGAGCACCUGGAGAUCAAAUUCCUGCAUCCUUACAACGCUGUCCUGACCAAGAAGUUCCAGGUCACCAUGCAAGGCCUUCUCUCGUGUCUGGGCAAGAGAAACAACCGUCUGAAAUCUCUGUCCGUCCAGCACCUGGAACUGGACCGCCUGGUCUGGAGGAACAGCAUCAGGAGCUUGCUCAUGAAAAGCUUGAGCUCAUUCUUGAAGAAAAUGGGCAAACACCUGGAUUAUCUCAGCCUAAAAGGGGCUAGGCUCACCGUGGGGCAAGGCUGCCACAUCCUCAACUCCCUGAGCUACUUAAGGAAAGAGAGUGUGGUGUCAGAGCUCAACCUCGAGGACUACUUCAGCCACCACCUCGCUGUCUACAGCAGCCCCCAGUUCAACAAGACCAUGGCCACGUUCCGCAACCUGGUGUCCCUGAGCCUCAACUACAACUGCAUCUCCGACGAGCUGCUGGAGAACUUGUGUGAGAACAAUGCCGGCACCCUCUGGACCAUGAACAUCAAGUGCCACAGUCAUGACCCCCACGGGCAGGUCAUCUGGGGCAUGUCCUGGGCCAAGCUGGCCAGGUGCGCCACCAACCUGAGAGUCAACUUCUUCUUUGAGCAAGUCAUGAAGUAUGAGCGCUUGGCCCGGAUCCUCCUGCAGGAGAUCCCCAUCAGGAGCAUCAGUCUGAGAAACUGCUCUUUCAGCGACCCCGACUGGUCCAUGAGGCCCACCCUGACGGAUCUCCUGCCCACCUUCCGGCACACUCUGCAGAAACUAACUUUUGAGUUCAACAACAAACAUGAGUCUCUGGACGAGGAGCUGCACCGCCUCAUCUUAUCCUGCAGGAAGUUGUUUUACUUCAAAAUCUGGGCUUUCCUUGAUGUUAAGUUUGUGGAGCAGAUCCUGCAGAGUCAGGAAGAAGGGCGGUGUGCCCUGCGCACACUCAAGUGGUCUUACUGCCGAGGGAGAGGAGCCAAGGGAGAUGGUUUGCUUCUCGUACUGUCUGCCCAGAACCCACCGUGAGCCCCAUCUCUGCCCUUGACAGAGUUCCUACUGCAGCCGCAGAUGGAGACCUGCCCAGCCCCCAAGCAGCCCCACCCAGAUGUUGUCACAGUGGAUCAGGAGAUAACCCGGCUGAGGUCUUAUAACAGGUGCAAGAAAUUCCAGGCAAAGAUCCCACAGUAGGACCUGGGCCCUGCGAGUGAGAGCCCCGAGGGAACGCAUAACCCACGUCCGCGGUCUCCGAGGUAAAGUCCACUUGGGGAUCGAGGCCUUCUUCAGGUGGCCCGCAGCCCCUCCCCCAGGCCACACGCCGCUCCUCCAGGGUCAAGGGGGGCUCGGCCUCCGCACUCCCUGUGCAGCUCCGCACCGCGGAAGAGGAGAGGCGGAGUGAGCUCUUCUCCUCCGGCGCCACCGGGGAAACCCCCCUCCCCCACUUCACUGC